CUCGCCUCCUUGAUUUUCUGCUAUUGCGAUUCACGGUGAGUGUUGUUUGUGGUGUAAUUCCUGCUAUAUUUUACUUCUUUCCGUGUGGGUUGAGUUCGUGUGAGUUGUCAGAUGAGUUUAUGGUGCUGUUCUUUUCGUUCCUUUACGCUGCCACCUGUCGUCGCAACACACAUGCACAGACAGAGGAAGAGGGAUAUCAUCAACAUGUUUAGGGCCCGAUGUUGCCCCUCUUCAUCCACCUAUUGAGCUGUGCGACGACAGAAAAAGGGUUAGUGUUUUCAUCUGGUUCAGUGCUUCGAUUUGGUGCGAUUUGAAACAGCUUGCUCCCUUGAGGAACUGGAAAUCAAUAAUGAGCUGCCUCUGCUAUUCCAAUGACGAUGAUAUGCAACGGCCUUCUGACAAUGUACAGUUCAUGGGAAAUAAUGCAUCAGGUAGUUAUCUAAUCACUUUGCAGAAUUUAAAUGUAUUACAAUAGUUUCUCUUUCAUUUUUUGAAAUACUAAAGAAGGCUUUUAUUGGACAAAUAUGAAAAAAGAGAUAUCUUUUAGUUGUAGGAGUUGGAACUUCAAAGUUUGUAUUCCAUGCUUCAAGUGUAAAUCCAAAGACAUUUAAGUCUUUUCCAUUUUAUUAAUUUCAGUGCUUUCCGAACUUGAGGUGGUAUCACGAAGAUUUGCAGGGUGAUUAUGUUGGCUCGUUUAAACAAUAUCAUUGCUUGGUUUACUUGUAUUUUCGAGGUGGUAUCAUGAAUAUUUGCAGGGUGAUUAUGUUGGCUCAUUUAAACACUAUCACUACUUGUGUUUUUAGUUUCCUUAUUAGUUUUAAUUCAGUUUGGAUCCAUAUAAACAAACUAUAGUGCUCCAUGUUGGUAUUUUUAGUGUUAUGUCAUUCUUCUUUGCUUCCAU